GCUGCUGGAUAUGUCAUCCAAGGGAGGCGAUAGCCAGCUUCUCUGGCGUUGACGUAUCGAGCGGGCAAGUUUCUCCUUCAGAAUCCAAUCCCUACGUGUGACGUAGCAAGCCUACAGUUGUCUAGUUGUCCACCAGCUGCAAUCGCUAAUCAAUACGCCCGUGAUCCUGCCGGUUCAUGUCCAGGUGGAACAAAUAGACUCUGGACCCUGGAGAGAAGAGGAAAAACAAGAGUGUAAGUAUAGUGGAUAAAGAAAAAUCUAAACUUUUUCUUAUGCUCCUUUUAAUUUAAAUAAAAAAAAUUAAAGUAUGUGAAUAUGCACGAACAAAGAUUAAUGCAGAGUGGAGAGCUGUAGAGAUAGAGAUAAACAGAUGAACAUGAUAGAUACAGCUAUACAGCUAUACAGACAGACAGACAGACAGACAGACAGACAGACAGACAGACAGACAGACAGACAGACAGACACACAGACACACAGACACACAGACAGACAGGCAGACAGACAGACAGACAGACAGACAGACAGACAGACAGACAGACAGACAGACAGACAGACAGGGAGAAAGACAGACAGACAGACAGACAGACAGA